UUAUAUGAUCCCUUCUUUCAGUUGGGAUUUCCAGCAAGGGUUCCUGGUUUUGAACCUUUACCAUGGCAGUGCCACUACAUAACCGUUUCCAGGCUCUAGUUAGUUUAAAUGAUGAGGGGAUGGUAAGACAGGUGAACAAAUUGGCGGCCUUUAUUAAACCCUCCUCGCCUAACCAACAGACCCUGGCAAAGGCCCAUUCCAGUUAUGCGGCUGCGGUGACCAGCAAGUCACCAACUGGUAGGGUCUCAAUGGGAGCCCAGGCCCACAGGGACUUUGGAAUAUGCAGGAAUAU